AGCAGCAGCCGCGGUAAUACGAAGGGGGCUAGCGUUGUUCGGAUUUACUGGGCGUAAAGCGCACGUAGGCGGAUCCUUAAGUCAGAGGUGAAAUCCCAAGGCUCAACCUUGGAACUGCCUUUGAUACUGGGGAUCUCGAGUUCGGGAGAGGUGAGUGGAACUGCGAGUGUAGAGGUGAAAUUCGUAGAUAUUCGCAAGAACACCAGUGGCGAAGGCGGCUCACUGGCCCGAUACUGACGCUGAGGUGCGAAAGCGUGGGGAGCAAACAGGAUUAGAUACCCCGGUAGUCCCUGUCUCUUAUAC
rnacentral:rRNA from 1 species